UGGACCAAACCCGUUGUGGCUUUGGAAGGACACAAUGUGUCUGUGGAAGGACAGAGCUCCUGAUAAACUUCUCCAGGUAAUAAGCACUUUGUUGCUGGUGUUUUAUCAUUACGUCUCCUGGAAGGCUUGUUGAGAAAAUCCAUUUGCAGAGUCAGCAGAGACCUCAGUAGAACAACUGCCUUGCCAGAGUCCGCAAGAACACCCCUAACCUACCUCAGGAAGCAGAUCCUCUGGAGGCCCUGUGCAGCAUAGGACAAUACAGAGAAGCCCUGAAAUAUGGAUGUUUGUUUAACAAGGAUUUUGGCUGAGGUUUACAGCAAUUGUAGCUCAUUCUGG